rnacentral:tRNA from 1 species
UCUAAUGUGGCAGACUAGUGCACUGGAUUUAAACCCCAAUUAUAAAGUUUUCCUUUCUUUAGAA